GUACUGGCUUUAACAACACAGAUACUAACAUUGGGACAAUACAGAGAAGCUUAGCAUGGCCCUUGCACAAGGAUGAUGUGCAAAUUCAUGAACCAUUCCACAUUUUU